rnacentral:misc_RNA from 1 species
GAUGUAUAACCUAAAUCCACAAAAAGUAUACAGUAGACCACUUCAAACGAGAAAAAAGAAUAUAAAAUAGAAAUCACAGGUAAAAAAAAUAAAUAAAUAUCACUCGGGAAAAAAGUCCCAUAGAAAUCAUCUAUACCAGUAUAUAAUUAGUGCAAAUAUUCAUCAAACCAAAUGUUUUUAUAUCCCUCCCCAACCACACCACAGCAAGAUAAGAGGAGUAGCUACCCGAUGCUACUCAUAAGCCUUGU